ACUCCUACGGGAGGCAGCAGUGGGGAAUAUUGGACAAUGGGCGCAAGCCUGAUCCAGCCAUGCCGCGUGAGUGAUGAAGGCCCUAGGGUUGUAAAGCUCUUUCACCGGUGAAGAUAAUGACGGUAACCGGAGAAGAAGCCCCGGCUAACUUCGUGCCAGCAGCCGCGGUAAUACGAAGGGGGCUAGCGUUGUUCGGAUUUACUGGGCGUAAAGCGCACGUAGGCGGACUAUUAAGUCAGGGGUGAAAUCCCGGGGCUCAACCCCGGAACUGCCUUUGAUACUGGUAGUCUUGAGUUCGAGAGAGGUGAGUGGAAUUCCGGGUGUAGAGGUGAAAUUCGUAGAUAUUCGGAGGAACACCAGUGGCGAAGGCGGCUCACUGGCUCGAUACUGACGCUGAGGUGCGAAAGCGUGGGGAGCAAACAGGAUUAGAAACCCCGGUAGUCCCA
rnacentral:rRNA from 1 species